rnacentral:rRNA from 1 species
UGGGGAAUCUUGGACAAUGGGGGCAACCCUGAUCCAGCCAUGCCGCGUGAGUGAUGAAGGCCUUAGGGUCGUAAAGCUCUUUCGCCUGUGAAGAUAAUGACGGUAGCAGGUAAAGAAACCCCGGCUAACUCCGUGCCAGCAGCCGCGGUAAUACGGAGGGGGUUAGCGUUGUUCGGAAUUACUGGGCGUAAAGCGCACGUAGGCGGACCAGAAAGUUGGGGGUGAAAUCCCGGGGGCUCAACCCCGGAACUGCCUCCAAAACUAUUGGUCUAGAGUUCGAGAGAGGUGAGUGGAAUUCCAAGUGUAGAGGUGAAAUUCGUAGAUAUUUGGAGGAACACCAGUGGCGAAGGCAGCUCACUGGCUCGAUACUGACGCUGAGGUGCGAAAGUGUGGGGAGCAAACAGGAUUAGAUACCCUGGUAGUCCACGCCGUAAACGAUGAGUGCUAGAUGUUGGGAUUUUCGGAUUUCAGUGUCGCAGCUAACGCAUUAAGCACUCCGCCUGGGGGAGUACGGCCGCAGGUUAAAAC